GCUGAACUAGAACAGCCAACACAACAGAUGUGGCUGCUUUGCUAUGCCUGUGACACCAAGACAAAGAGGAAGCAGCUAUUUCUGUGCUUAGUAUUCAGACUAGUGAGCACUAAGAAUGAUUUAUAGCCUAAAACUU
ensembl:snoRNA